rnacentral:rRNA from 1 species
GGUGGUCCCACCUGACCCCAUGCCGAACUCAGAAGUGAAACGCCGUAGCGCCGAUGGUAGUGUGGGGCUUCCCCAUGCGAGAGUAGGGAACUGCCAG